CGGAGGGUGCAAGCGUUAUCCGGAUUCACUGGGUUUAAAGGGUGCGUAGGUGGGCAGGUAAGUCCGUGGUGAAAUCUCUGAGCUUAACUCAGAAACUGCCGUGGAUACUAUUUGUCUUGAAUAUUGUGGAGGUAAGCGGAAUAUGUCAUGUAGCGGUGAAAUGCUUAGAUAUGACAUAGAACACCAAUUGCGAAGGCAGCUUACUACACAAUUAUUGACGCUGAGGCACGAAAGCGUGGGGAUCAAACAGGAUUAGAUACCCUGGUAGUCCACGCCCUAAACGAUGAUUACUUGACAUCAGCGAUACACUGUUGGUGUCUGAGCGAAAGCAUUAAGUAAUCCACCUGGGAAGUACGAUCGCAAGAUU
rnacentral:rRNA from 1 species